AGAAUGAACGCUGGCGGCAUGCCUAACACAUGCAAGUCGAACGAGACCUUCGGGUCUAGUGGCGCACGGGUGCGUAACGCGUGGGAAUCUGCCCUUAGGUACGGAAUAACUCAGGGAAACUUACGCUAAUACCGCAUACGAUCUUUGGGUGAAAGUGGGGGACUCGCAAGAGCCUCACGCGAUUGGAUGAGCCGAUGUCCGAUUAGCUAGUUGGCGGGGUAAUGGCCCACCAAGGCGACGAUCGGUAGCUGGUCUGAGAGGACGACCAGCCACACUGGAACUGAGACACGGUCCAGACUCCUACGGGAGGCAGCAGUGGGGGAAUAUUGGACAAUGGGGGCAACCCUGAUCCAGCCAUGCCGCGUGGGUGAAGAAGGCCUUCGGGUUGUAAAGCCCUUUGUACGGAGAAAGCUCUGGGUGAAUAUCCUGGAGUCAUGACGGUACCGUAAGAAUAAGCACCGGCUAACUUCGCGCCAGCAGCCGCGGU
rnacentral:rRNA from 1 species